GGGCGGGAGAAUAAAGUUGCUGCAGUGGCCUUCUCUGUGUGAUCCGCGGGCCCGGGCUGAGCAGCUGCUGUUCCCCGGGGUCUGUGCGGGGGGAGUCCGGCAUUAACCCCUCUGUGCCCGGCCGGGGGGGGCUUUCUCCAGCUGGGACCCGCCCCCUGGGCAGCCCCGGGCCGGAGACCCCCGGGUUUCCUGUUACCCAGCCUGAUGUGAUCUCCUGGCUGGAACAAGGGAAAGAGACAUGGGUCCUAGAUUUCUAGGUUUCAGAGGAAAGAGCGAUCCUGAGAGCUCCCUGCACAGGUGAGGAAACAUUAAACCAACUCAGAAUCUCAGGUGAUGCAAUGGUAUGUGAGAAAGAGGAGCAGAAUUCUCAGCCGGAAAAUGUUGAGCAAGUGGAUAAACACAGAGAAUUAUCACAAAGAUUGAAAAGAAAUGCAUUCAGGAGUCAUGAACAGGGAAAAUCAUGUGAGAAUCAGCACAGACCAGGGGAGAAAAUGGAUAAAUGUAUUUCCUGUUGGGAAACUCAGAAGAGCAUCAAGGAAAUGACAACACAGCAGGAAAUCCUCAUGGGAAAGAGGAAAAAUACAUGCAGUGAGUGUGGGAAAAACUUUACUCGAAGAUUAGCCCUUUCUAAUCAUCAGAGAAUCCACAUAGGGGAAAGGCCCUAUGAAUGCCGUGAGGGUCGGAAAACAUUCAGUCGCAGCUCGCACCUUAUUAGUCAUCAAACAAUCCACACAGGAGAGAGGCCUUAUGAAUGCUGUGAGUGUGGGAAAAACUUCGCUACCAGCUCAGCCCUUUCUGUUCAUCAGAGAAUCCACACAGGGGAGAGGCCCUAUGAACGCAAUGUGUGUGGGAAUACCUUCUCUUAGGGUAUGUCUACACUACGGGAUUAAUCCGAAUUCAUAUAAUUCGAAUUUGGGAAACAGAUUGUAUAAA